AUUGAACGCUGGCGGCAGGCCUAACACAUGCAAGUCGAGCGGCAGCGGGAAAGUAGCUUGCUACUUUUGCCGGCGAGCGGCGGACGGGUGAGUAAUGCCUGGGAAAUUGCCCAGUCGAGGGGGAUAACAGUUGGAAACGACUGCUAAUACCGCAUACGCACUACGGGGGAAAGCAGGGGACCUUCGGGCCUUGCGCGAUUGGAUAUGCCCAGGUGGGAUUAGCUAGUUGGUGAGGUAAUGGCUCACCAAGGCGACGAUCCCUAGCUGGUCUGAGAGGAUGAUCAGCCACACUGGAACUGAGACACGGUCCAGACUCCUACGGGAGGCAGCAGUGGGGAAUAUUGCACAAUGGGGGAAACCCUGAUGCAGCCAUGCCGCGUGUGUGAAGAAGGCCUUCGGGUUGUAAAGCACUUUCAGCGAGGAGGAAAGGUUGAUGCCUAAUACGUAUCAACUGUGACGUUACUCGCAGAAGAAGCACCGGCUAACUCCGUGCCAGCAGCCGCAGUAA
rnacentral:rRNA from 1 species